rnacentral:rRNA from 1 species
GACGAACGCUGGCGGCGUGCUUAACACAUGCAAGUCGAACGGAAAGGCCCUGCUUUUGUGGGGUGCUCGAGUGGCGAACGGGUGAGUAACACGUGAGUAACCUGCCCUUGACUUUGGGAUGACUUCAGGAAACUGGGGCUAAUACCGGAUAGGAGCUCCUGCUGCAUGGUGGGGGUUGGAAAGUUUCGGCGGUUGGGGAUGGACUCGCGGCUUAUCAGCUUGUUGGUGGGGUAGUGGCUUACCAAGGCUUUGACGGGUAGCCGGCCUGAGAGGGUGACCGGCCACAUUGGGACUGAGAUACGGCCCAGACUCCUACGGGAGGCAGCAGUGGGGAAUAUUGCACAAUGGGCGGAAGCCUGAUGCAGCAACGCCGCGUGCGGGAUGACGGCCUUCGGGUUGUAAACCGCUUUCGCCUGUGACGAAGCGUGAGUGACGGUAAUGGGUAAAGAAGCACCGGCUAGCUACGUG